GUUGUUUCCACGCAUCCACUGUACCCUCCAAAACCUUGCAUCAUCUGUUUUUAAAGUAUAAUGAACUUUUAAACAUUAUUAUGUCCAAAAAAUAAUAUGACACAAGUUACUGCAGCAAAAGGGUAAAAAGGGACAAAAGACUGCAACACAACAGUGAGUCCAUGUUACUGCACUACAUCUACAUAUAUCUAAGGCAGGGGUGGAGAACCCUUUUUUUCCCUAUCCUGGGACAUCUUAAUUUUUGAUCCUGGGACAUCUUAAUUUUUACAUCUUAAAUACGCAAUUCAUGUCUCACUGACUUCUGUCAUAUAAUGUCUGGAAAGGCUUCUCUUUUUGGGAGGCAUCUGAUGUGAUAUGGCAGUGAUAAUGAUAAUGUGGGUUUUAGCCAAAACUACUUGUGCAAUCAUGUCCUCACCUUUUAUUGCGUCAGGCAUGACUUAUGAAAACAGAAACACUUCUUCAUAUGAUGCUGCAGACAGAUGUUUGCUGUGCAUCUACUGUAGAUCAUUCGUAUCUACUGUAUGUGUGAGGUCAUUGUAGCUGUUAUUACUGUCAGGUUUAUUCUAACAUAUAUGACAACAAAGUAACAACACAAAAGACGUCUGGAUCUUUUACUUGCAAGGGGAGAGUGCAGCUUACUCUUCUGGCAGCUUCCUCAUCAACUCAGAGUAGCCCCACCCUUCUGUAGCAGUACGAGCGUUUCUGUUUUGUUUUUCCCUCGCUCUUUCUGUUGACUGUUGCUAUGGUUUCCCUCCCUCACUUCCGCCAGUCGUUGAGGGAGCGGGUAUAAAAACGGUAGUCCGCCCACCGGGUCUUCCUCUGCGCUCCCAUCAUCACCCGUGUUACUUUCGGGUCAGAGGUCGUGUGCCCGACAGGACGACUGUUUGUGUGCUGCUCCGUGCUCCCUGUGUGUGCUGCUGUGGUCAUUGGCCGGUGGUGAAUGCUGGCGGCUGCCUGGAGUCCAAUCCUUCCUCCUCGCCGGUGGUGGCGGUGCUGGUGACCUGGGGGGGGUGUCCUCCCGUCGUAUCUUGCUGUGUCCCUGGGAGUGGGUUUUUUCACUGAGGGUGUGUCUGCCACAUGUGCCUGGUGAUUUAAGUUAUUUUUGCCUUAUUUUGGUGGAUCCUGACCCUGCACUUGCCCUUGCCCAUCCACUUCGGCCUCAGCCCUGAUUAGGUUUCUCUUUUAUUUGUGUGAAUUAGUUUUACGGAGUAUACUUUUUAAAAACAAAUGUUGAAUAAAAUUUGUAUUGUUCAAACUUUGAACCACGUCUCUUGCCCUCCAGUACCCACGAACCUUUGUGCCUUGUGUUUGAGCAAUUCCCUGGGUGAAAUUCUUAGGGUGGCGUUGUCGAGCUUUUCCUUCUUAAUAAUAGUCACGUAACUUUUCACCCCCCGCCACACUUCCUCUUUUAUUGAGUUUAUAAAAGUAUCAGAUUACAUAUCAUGUGAUCAUGUGUGAGUAUACGGAUGGAUAUGGAGUAAGAAGGUGGAUGUGAAUGUGGGUGUGAAUAUGUAAGUAAGAAGGUGGGUGUGAACAUGUUUAAGUAAUUUUCCAUGUCUUGAGCACACUAGAUUCUAAUAUGAGAAGCAAACAGUUUCUUAAAGGGACA